rnacentral:rRNA from 1 species
ACUCAAAGGAAUAGACGGGGGCCCGCACAAGCAGUGGAGUAUGUGGUUUAAUUCGAAGCAACGCGAAGAACCUUACCAGGGCUUGACAUACUGAGGAAUGCUGUCGAGAGGCAGCAGCCCUUCGGGGCCUCAGAACAGGUGGUGCAUGGUUGUCGUCAGCUCGUGUCGUGAGAUGUUGGGUUAAGUCCCGCAACGAGCGCAACCCUUGCAGUCAGUUGGCAUCAUUAAGUUGGCCACUCUGAGUGGACUGCCGGUGACAAAUCGGAGGAAGGUGGGGACGACGUCAAAUCAUCAUGCCCCUUAUGUCCUGGGCUACACACGUACUACAAUGGCUGCUACAGAGGGAAGCGAAGCCGCGAGGCAGAGCGGAUCCUAAAAAGCAGUCUCAGUUCAGAUUGCGGGCUGCAACCCGCCCGCAUGAAGCAGGAAUUGCUAGUAAUGGCAGGUCAGCAUACUGCCGUGAAUACGUUCCCGGGCCUUGUACACACCGCCCGU